GUAGCUAGGACUAUGGGUAUGCACCAUCACACCAAACUGAUUUUUACUUUUUGUGUGGAGACUGUGGUCUCACAACGUUUCUCAGGCCGGUCUCGAACUCGUGGCCUCAAGCGAUCCUCUCACCUCAGUUUCCCUAAGUGCUGGGAUUACAGUUGUGAGUGAUCAUGCCCAGCCUUGAAAUGAUUGUAAGAUGUUUGAGAGGAAUAAACCAACUCACCCCUGUGAAUGGUUUAGUUCAGCGGUUCCUAAACAUUUUCAGUUCACGGCACCCUAAUGUCUUAGUAAUUUUAUUCACAGGGCCCUGAGGCCACAAGAAAUACCUCAUAAUUCUGUUUAUGACCUUGUUGGGUCCAACUACCUUAAUAAGUAUUUAUGUCCUAACAACUUAGUAGCUGGGUAAAAAAUAAUAUGUACAAAUUGAAAGAAAAUAAAUCAUAUUUUAUUGUAUUAUUAAAUAACCACAAUACUUACUAAUGGUAUGUAGGUUCAUCAUUUGGGCACUAGCAAUAUAUAAAACCUUGGAAUCAGAUAGGACAUAUCACUUUUUCCCCCACAGCUAUCACAGCAGUCACCAAAAACCAAGCUUUGCAAAGAUAUGACAUCAUGGAAGGAAAUUUAGCAACCUAAUGUUAAAACCGAUUUACCUGGAGCUAGCAGUUCCUGAGGUGUUUGACAGGCAUCAUUGUGUUUUCCUCAAGUACUUAAAAAUAUCCAGGCACUUCUGCGAGUCCCUUGAGGUGCCUGCCCCUCUGUCUGUUUAUGCAGAGCAGUGUCCCCUUGCUGGUGGACAGGUUCAGUCAGUGCUUUUUCCUCUGCAUGAUGAUAUUAGAUAUGCAGAAAAUCAUGGAUAGGAAGAGCCAAGGAAAAAAGGGGGAAUAAAAAUAGAAUGAACAAAAAAAGGAGCUCAAGAAAUGUAUUUUUAAUGCAGUACCCCAAAAAUAAGCUCAUAUUUUACUAUGUAUUUGACAGCAGAAUACAAUUACAACUGACAUCAAUUAUGUUCUCUAUUAGACUUUUCUCUACCUUAUACAUUUAAAUGUAAUCCCAAAUGGGGAAAGAACCACUGUUUUUUAAUAUAGGUGCUUUCUCAAUUUGAAAACUAGAAUGGAAGUCAUGUUCAGAUGUGUAAAGAAUUCUAAGAAUGAGGUGGGGGUUAAAUGAUUGUUAGCAACCAAGAGGUUCCAUUAUUUUUUCCUUCAAGCAUGUUGGUAUGUGGAAAACGGAAAGCAUAUUAAACCACUCACUUAAGUUAGUUAAACCCAACAUACUAGAGCAAUUAUUAAUCCUCUUUCAUCUUUCUAAUAACAAGACACAAAGCAAUUGUUAGUUAUAAUUUGUAAUCAGUAGCAUGUCGUUAGCGGGCUGUUAAUUGAUUGUAUUUACCAGUGCUUGCGUAGAUGGGUUCUGUUGUUGUUGUUUGAGUUUCAUGUUAAUUCAAUAGGGGUGGUAACUUGGUUUUUGGUGAGGACAGAAAGAUUUUACAUCUCAUUUCACUGAUUCUGUUUUCUUCUCAACAUUGGACUUCUAUGUGCUUAUUUAAAAAACUAUGUGGCUACUGCCAUCUGUUGGAUGGAAUGUGAGUCCUGCUCAGACACGUGGCCCUUUAAACGCCCAGUGUCUGUCCCUUCUAACUUCACCACAUGUCUCCUCAAGGUAAGGUUCUGCCUUUGAUCUACCUGCAUGCAUCCCAGCUUCCAGCCCCAGAACUGAGUUCAUUUUGGGAACGUUUUCUGUGGUGCUGGGGCACUUUCUCUUCAGACAUGUAAAUACUUUUUACUGAAGAGUGUGAGGUUGUUUAGCUUUCCAAUAAGACUCACAGCGUAAGGAGGCAUGUCGAGGUGGGGACGGAUGUGGCUGGGAGCAUGUUUAGGAACAAGUAUAUUUUUAGCAUAGGGUAUCGAAUCUACAUUGGACUAAUAGGCAGAGGAAUCAAAGUUCAGCUGUAAAUUGUGGUGCAUAUUGAGGCCAGUGAUUUUAUGUCUCUGAGCUGGCAUUUCCUCAGCUGUAAGACAAGAGGACAGGACUAGGACUGAGAAAAUCUUAUGAGCUCAAGACCCACGCAGCUCCGUCUCUCUAAGGAGUCAUAUUCAAAGAACAGCAGACCUAACAGCAAAUAGGAAUUUAAGAAGAAACGCCAGUCUGAUUUAACUGAAAAGCACAGAGAAGAACCAAUCUACAGAUCACGGGAAACCCAUUUGACCUGACUCCCUUUUCCUCCACUGCUUGGUUCUUAUUUUUCUACUUUUCUUGGGCUGUGAUUGUCAGCAUCCUCCCUCCUCACCCCUCCUACUCUUUCUCUGCGGAGGGACUGUUUUCUCUCUCCACUCCUGUUCAGCUUUUUUCUUAGUCCUCCCCUCCUCCUGUAGCCCUCAGUCUCAGCUUUCUCUGCCCUUUGGCUGAUUCUGCAUCACAAAAUUCCAAGAACCAGUCUUGGAGAAACUACCUGUUCUCUGAGAUAGGAAACAGGUGAAGAAGCUGAACCAGGCAGAACACACUUCGUAUUGGUCCAGGAGAAACACACACACACACACACACACACACACCCAAGCCCUUCUGACAGCAAGAGCCUUCAAUGCUGUGACUGAUACAACUACAAUGCCUAUAGCUGAAUUCACUGGUUAGCAGGUGCACGAUGGAAUUUUGUCCCUUGAAUUGGGGAUGUUUAAAGAUCCAGGCUAUUUCACUCCUUCCUCUUGCCUUGCUAAAGAAUGACCGGGGUCAUUAUUGAACUCAGUUCUCAUUUGCUUUCUUAAAAUUUGAUGUCCACAAAACCUGGAGUUUAUUUACUUUUCCCUUUCCUCCUUUCUUCAUGUAGUCCAUCAUGCCAUUUGUUAAUACCAGAUUAGAGAAAGGGAGCAUGUCAAGGAAUUCCUUUAUGAUUUCUUCUCUGAGGAUGAAGUCUUGGUUGAGUCUUCAGUGGACAUGGUCAGGAUGGAUCCUAGGAGUGGGGCUGGGGCUCUGCGGUGUGUGUGUUCUCCAGGGCAGUUAUCCUGCUGGGGCUGGGCCAGCCCUCCUGCCCCAGCAGCCCCCAUCUCUCUCUGCCCCACCCUGUCUCCUAGGUGAGGUGUGCCGGGAUUGCUGUGUGGGGAGGGAGUACGGCCAGCCUGCCUGGGCUCAAACCUUCAAGGAAAUGAAAAAUAACUUCUCCUUACAAGAGGUUAGGGGAGCCUCCCCAGGCUCGUCUGCUGCUAGUUCUGUCAGUGGAGAGGCAGUUGAGAAGGCCCCAGGAGGCUGGGAGGAAAGGAAGUGUGCCCAGGCCCACCUAGCGGGAGGUCUACAGGAGAAAGGCCCUCUUUGUCAUUGCUGCCGGGUAACAGCGAGUUUUGCAGUUGGUGAUAAUGAUUCAUUUCCUCAGUUGAGGUUUGGGAGGAUUAUAGCUGGAAUUUGAAAAGUCGUUUCUAUAUCUGGCAACGAAGGAACUCUGAGUGAUCACCAUGUACUGUUUGGUGUUUUGCCAUCAUUGGUAAUAUCACUGUGGCAGGCAGCUCGGGCUGCUGUAACAGAACACUGUAGACUGGGGGGCUCACAAACAGCAGACAUCCACUUCCCACAGUUCUGGAGGCUGGAAGGCCACGACGGGGGGCCAGCUGGCUUGGGUUCCGGUGAGGACCCUCUUCCGGUUGCAGGUGGUUGCCUUCUCAUUGCAUCCUCACGAGGCGGAAAGAUGGCCAGAGAGCUCUCUGAGUCUCUGUCACAAGGGCACUCAUCCCAUUCAUGAGAUCUGCACCCUGGUGACUUAAUCACCUCCCCAAAGGCCCACCUUCUAAAACCAUCACGUGGUGGAUUAGGAUUUGAACAUAUGAAUUUUGUGGGAAUGCAAACAUUCAGUCAAUAGCCACCACCAGCAACACUGAAAUGUAAAUUGGAGGUGUCAUAUGAAAAAAGAAAUGAUCUAAAUGAAGUUCCAUGCUGUCAUAAUGGAGUUCUGCAGCCACCAAUGUAUGUCCUCUGGUUGAGUGUACAGGCGGUGUAUGUAUAUGUGUAAGUGUAUUUAUAUCUUGUGAUUGUUCUGAGCAUUCAUGAUUUAAAGUACCUAAUCAGCAAUGAGCAGUGUUCAUAUUCCCGGCUGAGUAGAGCUAGCGUGUGUCUCUAAACACUGGCUGGUUGUGGAGGCAGAAUGUUAUCAGGAUGCCCUGAUAGAUCAACAAUGUCCUCUCCUGCUUUGCUUCAGGAAGGGGUGAACAUUUGUUUACGGGUCUGACAGAAUAAAAAGUGAACCUGCUGAGAAUGGAGUCCAUGCACUCCAAGUCACUUCGCCUUCGCUGGUGCUGAAGGAUCCCCGUGGCUCAUCGUCCACAGGCCAGAGAGGUUAUUGCUAGCGCAAAUGCUGACCCAGUUCCUUCCACUGCGAUGGACAGCUCCAGUUCCUGACUCAGCUCAGAGGAGCACAGCUCUUUUGUUUCUAGUAUCUUCUAGUAUAGAGGAGCUGUUGUUGAGGACAGGUCCGUGGAGGUGAUUGCCUCCCUUAGCUCCUGCACAGUAAGUGGAUGCUGAGGCAGUCUUGAACACCAGAGCAUAAGGCACUGGGAUGUGUCCCCAGGGCUGUGCUGCCCUUGAGUGGCUUCCUGGUCUGUAAAGUUGCAUGGUGGGUAGGAAGAGACGGAGGUCUGGCGCCUGGCAGCACGCCAUGACUGGGUGGACCUGACUCUCCUGGCACCUUGGGGGUGCAGAGCCACCACUUCAUUCUCACAGAGCUACACUAUUAUGGGGUAUCUUUGAAGGACAUAGGAGACAAUCUGAAGCAUUCAGGAACCCCAAUGCCUUGAAAACACUAUCAGGGGAUGAAUUAUAAUGUAACAUACUAAUAAUAUUAAAAAGGCAAAGUGAGGUAAGGUUUUAAGAGAUUCACUAUGAACUUUGACUUCAAGUCUAUGGAAUCCUGUUUUAGCUCAUACCUCAUUGUAGAUUUUUUAAAAACUGCAGUUCAUUAUGGUUUUUUUUCUAUUAAAAUUGCCUAUAAGUUGACUGUGAGUUUAUCAGAAGUCCGUCUUUUCCCGUUUUAACAAGGUCUAGUGACAACUGGUAAGAACUUAGAAGUACAGUCAGCACCGGCUACUUUCAACUAACUACAGGUGGGAUAACUCUGCAUUGCUGUUGAUUGAUACAGAAGCUGAGACAUGAGUGAUAUUCACUGCAUAACUGGCAAUGCUGGCACUAAUAGGACCCUUCCCACAGGUCAUGCCCUCUGUUGAGUGCACUGUGUAGAUGAUCACAUUUAUUCCCCAGUGCAACUCAUGGGACAGGGAUUAUCAUCCUUAUAUUUAGGGAGGAAAUUGAGACUCAAGAGAGGCUCAGGUAGCAGAACCAGGCUUGGGUCCAGAGACUCUGACCCCAAAGCCGUGACUUAUGGUGGGAAGCUCUGCUUCUUCCCAGAGGUUCUAGUGAGCAGCCUGGGGUGUGAUUUCCGCCUAUGGCGACUGAGAGCUCCUACUUUACGGCGUCAAAUCAGGGAGGGACUCCAGCGUGAUCUGACAGCCGCAGCUGUAGACAUUAUCCCUGCCCUUGUGAAACAUAAAGACUUGUUAGUCUAACGGUAGAGAUACGACAUCAGUGUAACAUAACAGAUACUUACUCAUCAGUUACUGUUACUCCAAACACAACAUUGCUUUAUUAUACGCUAUGUGGUCACUUUUUCUGUAUGUCUAUAAAUCAAAUACAUUUUCCUGCAUCCUGAGAGGUAGCAGCCUAGAUAAAUACUUUAUUUAUUUAUAAUCUGUCCACCUAUUCAUCCGUCCAACACGUAUUUGGUGAUUUUGAUUAAAUUCCAGGUGCCUUUGCUAAGGAUGGAAGGACAUACAAAGAUGUGAAAAUCCAGGCACAGGCUCUUCCUGCAAGGUGGCUCAGUCUAGCAGGGGGAGACCCUCUGUGUAAAGAACUCUGACAAUAACAUAUCUAUCAUCAUCGAGUAUGCGGACAUGACCCGAUUCUGGGGUCUCACAAGGGGCCUUUGGGUGUCUCUGAGAGGACCGUGAUGAAAGACUCAAUGAAAUUCGUGCUUCUGAACCCUGAAUCCACUUCAAGGUGCCGUGUCAGUGCUGUGCGUGUUCACCAGCAGAUGUCACUGUUUACAUAUAAAAUGCAAACAGCCCCCAAAGUUGUUUUUUUCCCCCCACCUUUAUUCUAAAGCAAGACAAGCUUGUCCAUGUUUUUUCAUAAAGCCUUAUUUAUCAUGUGAUCAGUUUUGUUCUGGGAAAUAAUGAUAUUGUUUAUCUCUUUAAAUAGCUGUACAUGUAAAGGGAACUGGUUUAUGAGAGACACUCAUUUCACAUACUAAGCUAUCCAAUCACAUCUCACUUAAAAGAUAAUUGUUGAAUAUUUACAAUUUGCCCGAAACCAGCUUCCCAUGACGAAAGGUGUCCAAAAACAGCUAAAGAGCUGUGCUUCUUUAGGGGUCUUAAAACCUCUUUUGAGAGAUGACAAAUAAUAAAGCAGCUUAGAAUGUUGGAAGUUAAGUUCUAAAACUAAAAAUGAGUGUCAUAUUGUUUCAGGGAGAUAAAGGUCUGUGGGGGCUGGAGCAGAUGGAAGGCUUUAGAGAAGGAAGCCCCGAGAUAACGAGGGUGAAUUCAUCUGGUUGGGAGGGGAAAGGUACUGUGGGUUUUUGGGGUUUUUUUGUUUUGCUUUUCGUGUUUUGGGGUUCUUUUGCUGAGAGAAUAAAGGGCAAUUAUGUUUGGAGGAUCUAUUUGAUGGACUCAUGAAAAGCAAAAUGGAGGGGGCUGAUGUUAUUACAAAAUCCAGCUAUGAGAACAGGAACUCCUGCACUGGUAACUAGAAAUAAAUUCAGAUUGGGAGGCAUAAGGAAGGAAGACAAGACCGCCAUGCCAGCUUAUUGACAGGUAUAGUCACUACGUCUUUUUGUCUUCUCAGUCCAAAAUCAAGAUACAAGCAUUGACACACGGUCAGACACUAAAACAGAAGGUUUGAAAGCAGGGCUGUUUGCAGAAACUCCAGGACACAUGGAUGCUGCGUAUAUGCAGAGGAGACAGUGACUUGAAUCUCAUGAACGUGUGGGGUAACAAUGGUGCUGCCACUGAGGGAAAUGGAAAACCUGGGCAGGAAGGUUGGCUUGCACAGAAAGAUGUUUCUAGUCUGAUCCAUGUUGUUGAAACUGAUGUGGGCCACGGCAUGAUUGGCAAGGCAGGAAGCUAUUCAGGAGCCACUGACCUAGAAGUGGAAACGACGAUAGGGAGGGGAGAGAGAAGGGCCAGGGUGUAGCCGUCACGGUUUGUGUCUUAAGAAGCCAGCUCAUUUUAUUAAAUUGCAUACAUCAGUCAGUAACAUCCAGGAAAGAAGAGAACUGGAAACCUCUCCCUGGUGUGGUGUACUCUUAAGCAUGCAAGUUUCCGCUGACUUUGCACCCUCUCUGCCUUCACAACGUGGGAAUUCGUGACCGGACCCUUCAGCCUGCAUGCCUCCACCUAUCCUAGGGUUUCAUCAUCGUUACUCGGGACUCUCAAACAUCUGUCCAUCAAUCAAUCAGCUGCCCAUCAUACUUGCUCACCCCUUCCAGUCUCUGGGAAAGCAACUUGUUAUCCAACGUGGAAGGUCUUGUUCUUGAUAGGUUCACUUUUCGAAUUCUAUGAGGGAGGGAGGGAAAUGUGGCUGGAAGUUCAAAGCAGCCACAGCCAUUUCCAAAACACAUUCUCCUUCAUGUUCCACUGACUCACUGUCGGAUCUUGACAAACUCCUAACUAGAGCUGUGCCUUAGUUUGCUCAACUAUAGAAUGGAAAAAAAUGACCCAUUCUAUAUUCAGAUUGUGUGUCUGUCUGAUGCAUGUCAAGCCCAGUGGGGGCACACCCUUAGUAAUGAGACAUGUUAGCACCAAUUACGUGCUUUUCACAUUGGGCAGGUGUCAGGAGAGGCCUGGGGUCAUAGGACCAGACUGCAAACAACACAAUCCCAGAAUAAAUCCUACUAAUUUGGCAUAAUUGAUGAAAAUGAAGAUCAGAUAUUUGACCAGAGAUGAGAAAUUCAUGGGCAUGAAUGCUGCAGCUCUGAUUACUUUGCAUAUGAAUGUGUGAAAAGUGCAGGCUUGUGCAAUGAUUUUUCAGAUGAAAUGAAAGCAGGAUGAGGAUGUCAGCCCUGAGUACUUGUGACUUUUAGACCAAAGUCCUUGGCAUCAGCCAGCAUUGCAGGAUGGAACAGGUGAGGUUCAGCAACCCUGUGAAGGGAGGCUAGGGUACUACUGGCACCCUUUAAAAGCAGACUGAGUGCAUAGACUCUCACUAGACUGGAAGUGAGUGAGCAGCCCCGGGAAAGCCCAGAUGAGCUAUUGUGCCUUCCUCAGCUUCCCCACCUUCUGUUGUGCUAGGAAGGGCUGGGGAGCCUGUCUGUGGCAGUCAGACAUCCCUUCCCUGGCCCCUCUAGAGAUGGAUCUACCUCCUUUUAGGAAGUGUGUGGGAGGGGGCCAAUUUGCAAAGGUUCGCUUGUGCUCAGUCCCUGCUAGGAUGAUCAAGCUCUUUUCAAAGCUCAGGGGUUGGGUUUUUGCAGUUUCUGCAUAGAACAGGCACUUAAAUAUCUGUGGAAUUCAUGAACGACUUCAUGCAUGCAUUUGGUCCUGUAUUCUGGUCCAAAUAGAAGAUACGGUAGGUAGACAAAUACCACCUCCUACGGCAGGUAGACAAACACCACCUCCUACGGCAGGUAGACAAAUACCACCUCCUACGGCAGGUAGACAAAUACCACCUCCUACGGCAGGUAGACAAAUACCACCUCCUACGGCAGGUAGACAAAUACCACCUCCUACGGUAGGUAGACAAAUACCACCUCCCCCCACAAAGACGUUUCUGUCCCAAUCCCUGGAACCUGUGCAUACUACUUGAUUUGGAAAAAGAGUCUUCACAGAUGUGAUUAAGUCAAGGGUCUUGAGAUGGGGAGAUCAUGCUGCAUUAUCUGGUAGACCCUAAAGACAAUCGCAUGUAUCCCUACAAGAAAGAAACAGAUAUUUAACUACCUACAGAAGAGGAGAAGGUGAUGUAAAGGUAGAGGCAGAGUGCUACAGACUGAAUGUUUGUGCCCCCCUGCCCCCCCCCCCCAACACACACAAGUUCAUAUGUUGAAACCUAACCCUAAUGUGAUGGUUUUAGGAGGUGGGGCUUUUGGGAAGUGGGAAGUGAUUAGGUUAUGAGGGCAGGGUCCUCAUGAAUGGGACGAGUGCCUUUUUCAAGAGGCCCCAGAGAGCUCCCUUGCCCCUUCCACCGUGUGAGGAUGACCAUCUACGAACCAGGAAACAGGCCCUCAGCAGAGACUGAAUCUACUGGCGUUUUUGAUCUAAGAUUUCCCAGCCUCCAGAACUGUGAGAAAUAAAUUUCUGCUGUUUAUUAGCUACUCAGUCUAUAGUAUUUUCUUACAGCAGCCCAAACGCACUAAGACACAGAGAUUUGCGAAGGUUCAGCCUUUGCAAAUCGUGGUGCAGCCAAGAGCCACAAUUGCCAAAGCUGCCAGCCACUGGAAGAGCCAAGGCCUGGAUUCUCCCCUCUGGAGGGAGUAUGGCCUGUGGACACCUUGGUUUCAGCCCAGCGAAGUUGAUUGUGUACUUCUGGCCUCCAGAACUUUGAAGAAUAGAUUUUGGUGUUGUAAGGCACCGAUGUGUGGUAGUUUGUUGAGCAACCACAGGAAACAAAUACAGAAAACAACCAUCUCCUCCUGAACCAAAGUCCAAAUAACCAAAUUCCACUUUGAACUAACCAAAUUCAAAUUUCAGAAUAAGGAGCAGGAGAUGUUUUUGUCCCACACAGGUAUUACCGGGGCGAUGUUAUGAAGGUGGUGGGAAUUUUUUAAAAUAGUUUUUAAAAUUAUGAAAGUACGAGACCAUCCUGGCUAACACGG